rnacentral:rRNA from 1 species
GUAGGUGGCAAGCGUUGUCCGGAUUUAUUGGGCGUAAAGCGAACGCAGGCGGGAGAAUAAGUCAGCUGUGAAAGCCCUCAGCUUAACUGGGGAACUGCAGCUGAAACUAUUUUUCUUGAGUGCAGAAGAGGAGAGUGGAACUCCAUGUGUAGCGGUGGAAUGCGUAGAUAUAUGGAAGAACACCAGUGGCGAAGGCGGCUCUCUGGUCUGUAACUGACGCUGAGGUUCGAAAGCAUGGGUAGCGAACAGGAUUAGAUACCCUGGUAGUCCAUGCCGUAAACGAUGAGUGCUAAGUGUUGGGAGGUUUCCGCCUCUCAGUGCUGCAGCUAACGCAUUAAGCACUCCGCCUGGGGAGUACGACCGCAAGGUUG